rnacentral:rRNA from 1 species
UACGGAGGAUCCAAGCGUUAUCCGGAAUCAUUGGGUUUAAAGGGUCCGUAGGCGGUUUGAUAAGUCAGUGGUGAAAGCCCAUCGCUCAACGAUGGAACGGCCAUUGAUACUGUCAGACUUGAAUUACUGGGAAGUAACUAGAAUAUGUAGUGUAGCGGUGAAAUGCUUAGAUAUUACAUGGAAUACCAAUUGCGAAGGCAGGUUACUACCAGUGGAUUGACGCUGAUGGACGAAAGCGUGGGGAGCGAACAGGAUUAGAUACCCUGGUAGUCCACGCCGUAAACGAUGGAUACUAGCUGUUCGGGGCAACCUGAGUGGCUAAGCGAAAGUGAUAAGUAUCCCACCUGGGGAGUACGUUCGCAAGAAUGAA